ACUCCUACGGGAGGCAGCAGUGGGGAAUAUUGCACAAUGGGCGGAAGCCUGAUGCAGCGACGCCGCGUGAGGGAUGACGGCCUUCGGGUUGUAAACCUCUUUCAGCAGGGACGAAGCGCAAGUGACGGUACCUGCAGAAGAAGCGCCGGCCAACUACGUGCCAGCAGCCGCGGUAAGACGUAGGGCGCGAGCGUUGUCCGGAUUUAUUGGGCGUAAAGAGCUCGUAGGCGGCUUGUCGCGUCGAAUGUGAAAUCUCAGGGCUCAACUCUGAGCUUGCAUUCGAUACGGGCAGGCUAGAGUUCGGUAGGGGAGACUGGAAUUCCUGGUGUAGCGGUGAAAUGCGCAGAUAUCAGGAGGAACACCGGUGGCGAAGGCGGGUCUCUGGGCCGAUACUGACGCUGAGGAGCGAAAGCGUGGGGAGCGAACAGGAUUAGAUACCCUGGUAGUCCACGCUGUAAACGUUGGGCGCUAGGUGUGGGGGGCCUCUCCGGUUCCCUGUGCCGCAGCUAACGCAUUAAGCGCCCCGCCUGGGGAGUACGGCCGCAAGGCUAAAACUCAAAGGAAUUGACGGGGGCCCGCACAAGCGGCGGAGCAUGCGGAUUAAUUCGAUGCAACGCGAAGAACCUUACCUGGGUUUGACAUCAGCCGAAAACUCGCAGAGAUGCGGGGUCCUUCGGGGCGGUUGGCAGGUNGUGCAUGGCUGUCGUCAGCUCGUGUCGUGAGAUAUUGGGUUAAGUCCCGCAACGAGCGCAACCCUCGUUCGAUGUUGCCAGCGCGUUAUGGCGGGGACUCAUCGAAGACUGCCGGGGUCAACUCGGA
rnacentral:rRNA from 1 species